UUGGAGGGCAAGUCUGGUGCCAGCAGCCGCGGUAAUUCCAGCUCCAAUAGCGUAUAUUAAAGUUGUUGCAGUUAAAAAGCUCGUAGUUGAAUUUCGGGAUUUGUCAGUUGGUCGGGCUUCAUUGUUCGUACUGAUUUGAUGGAUUCUUACCUUCUGAAUAACCAGCAUGCUAUUAAGUUAGUGCGUUGGGGAAGCAGAUCUAUUACCUUGAAAAAAUUAGAGUGCUUAAAGCAAGCUAGUGCUUGAAUAGAUUAGCAUGGAAUAAUGAAAUAGGACGUUUGAUCCUAUUUUGUUGGUUUCUAGGAUUGACGUAAUGAUUAAUAGGGAUAGUUGGGGGCAUUAGUAUUCAAUUGUCAGAGGUGAAAUUCUUGGAUUUAUUGAAGACUAACUACUGCGAAAGCAUUUGCCAAGGAUGUUUUCAUUAAUCAAGAACGAAAGUUAGGGGAUCGAAGACGAUCAGAUACCGUCGUAGUCUUAACCAUAAACUAUGCCGACUAGGGAUCGGAUGAUGUUAAUUUUUUAAUGACUCAUUCGGCGCCUUACGGGAAAC
rnacentral:rRNA from 1 species